UUUAGGGCAUGGGUGUGAUUGUUCUGUUUUCCAAUUUUUUUUAUUUUUUAUUUUUUAUUUUUUAUUUUUUUUAUCUUGGGUUGUUAGAACUUGAGCGUGUGUGUUGUGGUGGCAGUGGGAAAAAUUAAAGGUGAGGUUGGAUAUUCCGACGAUGUACAAGAAGAUUUCUCGGAGAGAUGAAGGCAAUAUCGCAAGCCACCGUCAGUGCCUUGCCACCUCUACAGCAGAGCGAAACGCGCCACCACCCAGAGCCUUUUCUUCACGCCACAAGCAGCGUCAUCCAAACCUCCACCACGAGUUCUCCCCUUAUCCAGAAAAGCAAUCAGCAACGAACAAUUGCACCUCUGCCACGACACAGAAGCGAUCCAGUGUCCCCAUAAACGCAAUCAGCAACGAACAAUCGCAAAUCAUAUUUUCUCCUUAGUGGUUCUUAAUCUGCAAACCCAAAAAAUCAACACAGUUCAUCCCAAAAUCAGAAAUAGAAACCCUAGAAUCGCGUGACCCCAAUUCGCGCCUUCACCUUCCCUAAAUCGUUAACUCCUAUGCCUUCUACGCCUUCCACCUGCAUCAGAAAACAGAAACCACGAAGAAUCCUAAACACAAAACCCCAUUCGUAAAAAUCUCAAAUUGCAGAAACCCAGAACAGUGUGCCUUCUCCUUGCACCUCUUCGGACCAGAACAGUGUGCCUUAUUCCCAU
rnacentral:lncRNA from 1 species